AUAGAGAGAGAGAGAGAGAGUCUUUGGUUUUUUUUUUUAAGAGAGAGAUAGCUAGUUAGCAUACUAUCUACUUCGUUUAUUUUAUUUAGAAAUAAAUUUAGCUGUAAAUAUGAGGAUUUGAACUUGGAACCUCGGGUAUCAACCAAAAAGCCUUUGCCACUUGCGCUAGGGACGGUCGGUGAGUCUGAUUAUUAUAUUAUUGAUAGUAUCAAAUAUUGGUGCUAUCAAGUUUUUCUGAGACACCCUAAUAAUUCCAUAUCGGAUGGGAAUAGAAUUGUGAUUGAGAAUAUAAGAGACAAUCCGCCUACUAGCAAUAAUAACUCGUUGGACCCAAAGUGGCAGCCCAAAAUGCUUAAGCUCAUUUAUUAUUAUCAGUGUCGAUGGUCUUUUAUAUAUAUCCAAUCACGUACUAUCCCAUGUUCAUCUGAUAUGAGACUAUUGGGAUGUCACAAACUCUCCUCAUUUAGGUUUUGACGUUCUCGUCAGUUCAAUCACAUGCACAAUCCAAGAUUUUCAUCUAAUGUGAGACUAUUGGAGUGUCAUGUCAGUUCAAUCGCACGCACAAUACAAGAUCAUCAGGCGGUGUGAGAUUUAUCUUGCUAGCCUUGGUAUUAGAGCCAGUCACCAACCGAAAGUGUGAGAUGAAUCUUGGCUGAGUCAUGGUCGAAAUUACAGACUAAGCUAGAAUUGAAAUGACAAGGUGACCAACUGAGUCAGGGUUGGAAUGACAAGACUAGCGAGACAAGUCUCAUAUUGUGUGGUGAUAUUGUGUUGUGUGUGCGAUUGGGCUGACGAGAACAUCAGAUUCUAAACAAGGAUAGUUUGUGACAUUCCAAACAUCAAAUAAAAAUGUAAUUGCGAUUGAGUAUAUCAGAGACCAUCGACCCUAAUGAUAAUAAUCGGGCUUAAGCAUUUUGGGCCGAUGGUUUGGAUCCAACAAGUUAUUAUUACUAGUUGACCGAGUCGUUAAAUUUCAGUCGUUAGAUAUACCCCUUUGACCAUUUCCAUCCAUUAGAUCAUAUUAUUCAACCAACCAUCAACUCAAUCCUAAAAAACUAUUAUCAUCUUAAUCAAGCACCACUAUCAUCCUGGCUGCACAUCCUUUCAUCCAAGUGUCAAAAAUCUAAUAGCACCAGGCCCUUACUACUAUUAACAGUAUAGUAGCCUAAUUCUAAAUAUAUAUAUAUAUAUAUAUAUAUAGAGCUAGGCUACUAUACUAUCGGUAGCACGGAGCGCUCCGUGCUACCAAGUUGUUUUCGAUGAUGUGGCUUCCAAAUCGACGAUCGGCUCCGUUAGAGUUGAUCUACACUAUUGAAAGUAUUUAGAAACUAAAUUUCAUAAUUUUUCGAUAUCAUUUACCUAUCAAACAAGUAGUCUAAAAUUGAACGGCUGAAAAUAAAAAUCUUAUAAAAAAUGAUGAUAAAAAAUUUAAAUUCAAGAUCAGAUAUACUGAUCUUAUUCUAAAUAAUGAAAAGAAUUUUCUAUAAAAUUUUCAUCGCAUUUGGAUUGUUUUACACCGUAGAGAGAGAGAGAGAGAGCAAGCUUGUUGGGCUACUAUCGAUAGUAAACGGCUCGGUUUACUAUUGAUUUAUUUUCAAUAAUAGAACUUCCAAAUCGACGAUCGGCAUCGUUGAACAUCGUUUAUACUACUUAAACUAUUUAGAAAUCAAAAUUUUAUUUUUUUGACAUCACUGACUUAAUAAUUAAAUGAUCACAAAAUUUAUAAUUUUAAUAGUCGAUAUGGUGUAUUUGCUCGUUUAACAGUAUAAAAGAGUUCAAUUUAGCUAAACUUUUGUUAAAAAAUUUUUAAACUAUUUAAAACAAGAUCUAGACUGUAGAUUUUAAAUACAAAAAUUAUAUCAUUACUUUUUGAAAGAUAUUAUUUUCAAUUAUUCAUUUUUUUCACUUGAUAGACAAGAGAACAAAAUCGAAAAAGUGUAAAAUUUAUUUUUCAGAUAGUUAAAUGGUUUAACCAUGUUCAAUGGUACGAUCGUCGAUUUGGAAGUUCUAUCAUCGAAAACAAAUCGUUAGUAAAUCAAACCGUUUACCACUAAUAGUAUUCUAGUAAAGCUCUAUAUAUGUGUAGAGAGAGAGAGAGAGAGAGUUAAGUUAAAAUACUAUUGCCAAUAAACGGGUUCUGUUACUAUCGAUUUGGUUUCAACGAUGAAGCCUCCAAAUCGACGAUUGACAUUGUUGAACGUAAUUAACACCACUUGAAAUAUCUAAAAUUUAAAUUUUCAAAUCUUUUAGGGUUGCAAAAUUUAUAAUUUUAAUGGUUGAUAAGAGAGGUUUGCUCGUUUAAUGAUGUAAACAAAUUUAAAUCAAUUGAAUUUUGAUUAGAAAUUUUUUAAAACUAUCUAAAACAAGAUUUGUACUCAUGAUCUUGACACCUCUUCUUGUUUCCUGUGAGUGCAUAUGCAAUUUCUAUACAUUUCCAAAGGAGAGGGCUUUACUUUAUCACAUAAUAAAUCAACACCCUCUCCAAAAAUGCUUGCAUAUAUAGUGUAAUUGUUACAACAAACGUACAAACGAAAACGAAAUGACGAACACAAAAUUAUCAAACCACAAGCAGAAAUAAAAGAGCACACAGAUUUACGUGAAAAAUCUUUUACAGGAAAAAAACCACGAGCGAGGGAGGAGAGAACCUCACUAUCAAAACGAAAGGGCAUACAAUGUUCUUCAGAUUUCAACCAAUCACGAUCACACGCCUCUAGGGCAAAAACGAAGAGAAAAAUUCAUAACGGGUUUCGGAUCCGAUCCGUACUGCGGGGAGCUCCG
rnacentral:lncRNA from 1 species